CGUCUAUGACGGGACGUAUUAUGGUAUACCCCGCGUCCGUCCGUCCGUCCGUCUGUUAAUGUCGUACGCUACGUCAAAUAUCCUUUGACAGAUUUUCUUCAAAUUUUAACACAAUCUUAAUAUUGAUAAACCCUGAUCCCCUUUCGUUUUUGACGGAAUUCUGAAUUGUCGUUCCAGAGUUAUGGGACUUUGUUCGUCAAAAUUUCGUGAUUUCAUUGAAUGUCCUACUGUAGCUAUAUGAAAAUGUUAAAGUUGUUAUAACUUUGGUAUGCUUGGACCUAGAGUCUUGAAACUUGACAUGAAGGUUGGCCAGAACUAGUAAGUAACCACUGGACAUUUCAAGGUCAUUCAUUUGAAGGUCAAGGUCACUGUGACCUUGAAUGUAAAAAUGUUAAAGUUCUUAUUUCAUGUUAUAACUUUGGUAUGCUUGUACCUAGAGUCUUCAAACUUGAAAUAAAGAUUGGCCAGUACUAGAAGAUGACCACUGGUCAUUUCAAUGUCAUUCAUUUGAAGGUCAAGGUCACUGUGACCUUAAAUGUUAAAAUGUUAAAAUUGUUAUAACUUUGGUAUGCUUGGACAUAGAGUCUUCAAACUUGACAUGAAGGUUUGCAAGCACACUUAGAUGACCACUGGUCAUUUCAAGGUCAUUCAUUCUAAGGUCAAGGUCACUGUGACCUUAAAUGUUAUUGUUGUUCAUGUAUCCUACCGUAGCUCAAAUAUCCCCCGAUGGAUUUUUUAUACGCCCGUCUAUGACGGGACGUAUUAUGGUAUACCCCGCGUCCGUCUGUCCGUCCGUCCGUCCGUCCGUCCGUCCGUCCGUCCGUCUGUUAAUGUCGUACGCUACGUCAAAUAUCCUUUGACAGAUUUUCUUCAAAUUUUAACACAAUCUUAAUAUUGAUAAACCCUGAUCCCCUUUCGUUUUUGACGGAAUUCUGAAUUGUCGUUCCAGAGUUAUGGGACUUUGUUCGUCAAAAUUUCGUGAUUUCAUUGAAUGUCCUACUGUAG